GGGCGCAUGGUGUAGCUGGUUUAUCACGCUCGCUUAGCACGCACAGGCAUGCGAGAGGUCCCCGAUUCGAGUUCGGGUGUGUCCA